CCUACGGGUGGCAGCAGUGGGGAAUAUUGGACAAUGGGCGAAAGCCUGAUCCAGCCAUGCCGCGUGUGUGAAGAAGGCCUUCGGGUUGUAAAGCACUUUCAGUGGGGAAGAAAGCCUUGGGGCUAAUACCCUCGAGGAAGGACAUCACCCACAGAAGAAGCACCGGCUAACUCCGUGCCUGCAGCCGCGGUAAUACGGAGGGUGCGAGCGUUAAUCGGAAUUACUGGGCGUAAAGCGCGCGUAGGCGGUCUGAUAAGCCGGUUGUGAAAGCCCCGGGCUCAACCUGGGAACGGCAUCCGGAACUGUCAGGCUAGAGUGCAGGAGAGGAAGGUAGAAUUCCCGGUGUAGCGGUGAAAUGCGUAGAGAUCGGGAGGAAUACCAGUGGCGAAGGCGGUCUUCUGGACUGACACUGACGCUGAGGUGCGAAAGCGUGGGUAGCAAACAGGAUUAGAUACCCCAGUAGUC
rnacentral:rRNA from 1 species